rnacentral:rRNA from 1 species
CGAAGGGUGCGAGCGUUGUUCGGAAUUACUGGGCGUAAAGCGCGCGUAGGCGGGUCUGUAAGUCGAUUGUGAAAUCCCUGGGCUUAACCCGGGAACGGCAGUCGAAACUACAGAUCUUGAAUGUCUGAGAGGAUGGCGGAAUAACCGGUGUAGUAGUGAAAUACGUAGAUAUCGGUUAGAACACCUGAGGCGAAGGCGGCUAUCUGGCGGUACAUUGACGCUAAGGCGCGAAAGCGUGGGGAGCAAACAGGAUUAGAUACCCUGGUAGUCCACGCCGUAAACUAUGGAUACUAGGUGUCCGGAAUGUUAACCUUCUGGGUACCGAAGCUCACGCAUUAAGUAUCCCGCCUGGGGAGUACGGUCGCAAGACUA